CCCUUAGAUGUUCUGGGCCGCACGCGUGCUACACUGAGUGGAUCAGCGGGUCAGGUUGCGCGAAAGUGUUUCUUAAUCUUUAAAUCCGCUCGUGAUGGGGAUUGACGGUUGCAAUUUUCCGUCAUGAACGAGGAAUACCUUGUAAGCGCGGGUCAUCAUCCCGCGCUGAAUACGUCCCUGCCCUUUGUACACACCGCCCGUCGCUCCUACCGAUUGAGUGGUCCGGUGAGGCUUUGGGAUCUGAGCGGAAAGAGCGUUUCGCUGUUUCUGCCCGGAAAACUCAGUCGAACCUUAUCAUUUAGAGGAAGGAGAAGUCGUAACA
rnacentral:rRNA from 1 species